UACGUAGGGGGGCUAGCGUUGUCCGGAAUCAUUGGGCGUAAAGCGCGUGUAGGCGGUCCGGUAAGUCCGCUGUGAAAGUCGGGGGCUCAACCCUCGGAUGCCGGUGGAUACUGUCGGGCUUGAGUACGGAAGAGGCGAGUGGAAUUCCUGGUGUAGCGGGUGAAAUCGCGCAGAUAUCAGGAGGAACACCAAUUGCGAAGGCAGCUCGCUGGGACGUUACUGACGCUGAGACGCGAAAGCGUGGGGAGCAA
rnacentral:rRNA from 1 species